rnacentral:rRNA from 1 species
UUUCCCCGCAAGGGGAGACUGAGUGGCGAACGGGUGAGUAACACGUGGGUGACCUACCUUCGAGUGGGGGAUAACGUCCCGAAAGGGACGCUAAUACCGCAUGACAUCCUGCCUUUGAAAAGGUGGAGAUCAAAGCCGGGGAUCGCAAGACCCGGCGCUUGAUGAGGGGCCCGCGUCCGAUUAGCUAGUUGGUGAGGUAAUGGCCCACCAAGGCAACGAUCGGUAUCCGGCCUGAGAGGGCGGACGGACACACUGGGACUGAGACACGGCCCAGACUCCUACGGGAGGCAGCAGUGGGGAAUUGUUCGCAAUGGGCGCAAGCCUGACGACGCAAUGCCGCGUGGAGGAUGAAGGUCUUCGGAUUGUAAACUCCUGUUGCCAGGGACGAAUGGCUUCGACCUAAUACGUCGAAGUAUGACGGUACCUGGUGAGGAAGCCCCGGCUAACUCUGUGCCAGCAGCCGCGGUAAUACAGAGGGGGCGAGCGUUGUUCGGAAUUACUGGGCGUAAAGGGCGCGUAGGCGGCCCGCUAAGUCGAACGUGAAAUCCCCAGGCUCAACCUGGGAACUGCGUCCGAUACUGGCAGGCUUGAAUCCGGGAGAGGGAUGUGGAAUUCCAGGUGUAGCGGUGAAAUGCGUAGAUAUCUGGAGGAACACCGGUGGCGAAGGCGGCAUCCUGGACCGGUAUUGACGCUGAGGCGCGAAAGCUAGGGGAGCAAACGGGAUUAGAUACCCCGGUAGUCCUAGCCCUAAACGAUGAAUGCUUGGUGUGGCGGGUAUCGAUCCCUGCCGUGCCGAAGCUAACGCAUUAAGCAUUCCGCCUGGGGAGUACGGUCGCAAGGCUGAAACUC